UUGCGGUUAAAAAGCUCGUAGUUGGAUCUCGGCGGGUAGAAGGCGGUACACUGCUAAGUGUUACUGCCUUAUUACCCGUAGUUUUUGCUAGAGGUUUCAGGGUGCUCUUAAUCGAGUGUCCUGGGAUGCUAGCAGGUUUACUUUGAAAAAAUUAGAGUGUUCAAAGCAGGCUACUACGCUUGAAUAUUCGUGCAUGGAAUAAUAGAAUAGGAAGUCGUUUCUAUUUUGUAGGUUUUCGGAAAUCGACUUAAUGAUUAAUAGGGACAGUCGGGGGCAUUUGUAUUCAAACGACAGAGGUGAAAUUCUUGGACCGUUUGAAGACAAACUACUGCGAAAGCAUUUGCCAAGAAUGUUUUCAUUAAUCAAGAACGAAAGUUAGAGGUUCGAAGGCGAUUAGAUACCGCCCUAGUUCUAACCAUAAAACGAUGCCAGCUAGCGAUCUGCAGACGUUUUUUUUGUAGACUCCGCAGGAAGCUUCCGGGAAACCAAAGCGUGUGGGUUCCGGGGGAAGUAUGGUUGCAAAGCUGAAACUUA
rnacentral:rRNA from 1 species